UCUUAUCGAACUUUAUUCACC
rnacentral:piRNA from 1 species